UGAAGGCCUGUUAAGAGAGUAAAAAAAAAGGCAUCUAAGAUAUAACAGCAACCAAAUGUGAUGCAUUUUGCUGAUAAAAACCAGUACAAGAAAAUAACAAUUGAAUACACCCUCCAUCCCAUAUUUAUUGUCUUUCUAUUCUUAGGUUGUCUUGAAAUUAGGCUGUGAUUUUUCUAGACAAUAUUUUGGGACGGUGGGAGUUGUUCAACUCAUAAGAAAAUAAGAAGUAAAGAGGUUACAUACAUAUCGUCAACUGCUAUUGCAUUCCCUUCUUCGCCAUCAGGAGUUUCCUUUCUAUGAAGUAUUUCAGAUACUGAAUUGGAUUCUGUGAGCCCCCUUUCUGGAUUCUUACGGUCAAGUCUCUCAAGCAUUUUCAUUUCGGAAGGCAAGAGAAAUAAAACUGACCGCCCUACGGAAUCAUAACGGGCAGUUCGGCCAACUCUAUGUAUGUAACCUGCAACGUCAUCAGGGCAAUCCACCUGAGAAAAAACAGAUAAAUUUAUACGUAGUCAAUAGCGUACAUAAAGACUGGAAGCCAGUAUGAAAUGCUACACUUAGGAACAAAUUCUUACAAAAUUGAUGUGGUACAUAAAGUGUGUAAACUAUUGUCAACUGUAUUGACUUUCAUUGUCUCUAUCAUCAUUUUAGUGAUGCCACAUCACUAUAUAAGAAUUUGCUGUUAGUUUUUCGCAAAGAUUAAAUUUCUGAUA